GCGAGAGGGAGGACACGGUGACCAGGUGCGCGUGGGGAGACGUCAGACCCUUAGAGCCUUGCAGGUGCCGGACUGCGAAUACAUCACCCGGGGCAAUUAAAAAUCUCCGGGGCUUGGCAAGAUCAGAUGGUUGGGUGCAGAUUUCUCUCUCAAGAGGCCCCGCUGGGAUUCUCCAUGCACGUUUGCAUGCAAAUUGCAUAUACAAAAUAAACCUAAUGAAAGUGCAAGGGUCAGAAACUCCAGCUCAAAAAUUUUAAACCGAAAAGGGAAGUCACUGGCU